GAGGGUAUAGCUCAAGGGGCAGAGCGCAUGCUUAGCAUGCACGAGGUCCUGGGUUCAAUUCCCAGUACUUCCU
rfam:Camelus ferus unplaced genomic scaffold scaffold688, whole genome shotgun sequence.